rnacentral:rRNA from 1 species
GAUGAACGCUGGCGGCGUGCUUAACACAUGCAAGUCGAACGGUGAAGCAGAGCUUGCUCUGUGGAUCAGUGGCGAACGGGUGAGUAACACGUGAGCAACCUGCCCCUGACUCUGGGAUAAGCGCUGGAAACGGCGUCUAAUACUGGAUAUGAGCUGCGACCGCAUGGUCAGCUGUUGGAAAGAUUUUUCGGUUUGGGAUGGGCUCACGGGCUAUCAGCUUGUUGGUGAGGUAAUGGCUCACCAAGGCGUCGACGGGUAGCCGGCCUGAGAGGGUGACCGGCGACACUGGGACUGAGACACGGCCCAGACUCCUACGGGAGGCAGCAGUGGGGAAUAUUGCACAAUGGGCGAAAGCCUGAUGCAGCAACGCCGCGUGAGGGAUGACGGCCUUCGGGUUGUAAACCUCUUUUAGCAGGGAAGAAGCGAAAGUGACGGUACCUGCAGAAAAAGCGCCGGCUAACUACGUG